GUUGUUCUUCUUCUUC
rnacentral:sRNA from 1 species